rnacentral:rRNA from 1 species
GACGAACGCUGGCGGCGUGCUUAACACAUGCAAGUCGAACGGAAAGGCCCUGCUUUUGUGGGGUGCUCGAGUGGCGAACGGGUGAGUAACACGUGAGUAACCUGCCCUUGACUUUGGGAUAACUUCAGGAAACUGGGGCUAAUACCGGAUAGGAGCUCCUGCUGCAUGGUGGGGGUUGGAAAGUUUCGGCGGUUGGGGAUGGACUCGCGGCUUAUCAGCUUGUUGGUGGGGUAGUGGCUUACCAAGGCUUUGACGGGUAGCCGGCCUGAGAGGGUGACCGGCCACAUUGGUCCUGAGAGACGGCCCAGACUCCUACGGGAGGCAGCAGUGGGGAAUAUUGCACAAUGGGCGGAAGCCUGAUGCAGCAACGCCGCGUGCGGGAUGCCGGCUUUCGGGUUGUAAACCGCUUUCGCCUGUGACGAAGCGUGAGUGACGGUAAUGAGUAAAGAAGCACCGGCUAACUACGUG